CUAUCUCCACUCCGCUUCAUGGAUAGGUCCAGCCCAAGCUACAAAUUAAUGGAUUGUUGGCCUCGUCCAACAACUUCCUUAUUAUGUAAAACAAAAUACAUAAUAUAGUAAACUAGAGUAAUUAUUAAAAGAUGAUAAUAUUAUAAGGCUAUAAAAAAAAUAUUGAAAAAUAGUAUAUAAUAUUAUGAUCUAAUGAUAACAAUAUUACAGUAAAAAAUAUUAAGAUUUAUUUAUGACAUCAUAUAAUAUUGAAUUACUAUGUUAUGUAUUUUAAUAUACGUUUUAUUUGAAAUAAACUAUUAUGAAAUUAAAAUUCAAGUUUACCAAUGUUGAUAAGUAAUGUUUUUCAUAUAUUAUUUUUCAUGUGUGGGAACCUAACUUUAGAGUUAAGGUUUUAGGCCUCUUCUGGUUCAUCUCAUUUAUUCAAGUACCAAAGUACACUACAAGAAUUUAUAAUUUUAAUUGGGGUUUCAAGAACCUCCACUAAAAUAUAUACAUAAUUGGGGUUUUAUAAACACUUACGUAUAAGAGGUUUUCCCUGCCAACUUAUUUUCUUUAUCUUGUAAUUUUUAAAAUUUUAAUUUGAGUAUUUUAGGAAGUGACUUUUUCUCUUUCUCUAUGGCUUAAGAAACUUGUUUGCUUUGGAAGAAGGAAGAAUGUACUCGUUGUUAGGAAAAGAAAGAGGUUCGUGCUCUUCACUUAAGGUAAACCGUGACUUUCAAUUUCAUUUUUGUUUUUCUGAGUUCCAUCUCUUUUGAUUUCAAUUUUAACUUCAUCUCUUUGCUUUUAUCGUUCGUGUCAUAAGAGGUUGUGGCUUGGGUCUUACGAGGAAGACGUUCUCUCUUUCGAGUCCAUUGUUCUCCCUGAAAUUAGUUAAUAAACACCUUUCUCUCUGCUUUCAAUUUCGUCGUUCUUUCGAUCUCCAUUCUUUUAUUUUCGUCUCAAUUCAAUUAUGUCUUUUGAUUUCAGUGUGUCUCUCACUAUUCUCACCACGAAUAGGUUCGUUUAUUUAUCUCUUGAUUUUGCCCUAAGUUCCCUUGUUUUGUCCCGUGAUUGUCAAUUUCCAUUGCAAAGAUACUGAUACAAUCAAUCAGGCCAGGGAUAGAAGUUUUAGGCCAAGUUCCAAGAACAAAAGCAUUUUGUGAUGUUAGUCUAUAUACUAUGGCCACAAGCACUCUGAGCAUUUUGGUGAUUCGCAUCAGUCCCGGUUCACUAUGCUUUGCAAAUGCUAAUUUUAUAAGAGAAAGGCAAUCACCUAAUUUAAAACUUUAUUUGGAGAGUUAUAUGAAUUUAAUUACCAAACUGAAAUAAAAAUUAUUUAAUUCUUUCCAGAAUACUGAAGUGGGUCAAUGAAGAAGAAUACAAAUUUUGAUGUUUGAUGUUAGCAUAUGUGGUAUUGCUCUAGAUGGUUUAUUAAGGUGCAAAAGUUUUCAUUUGCGCUUUAUAUGCCGCUAAGCGUUUUAAAAGCUAGAAGUGGUCCCAAUUCUUAAUGUAUUUUCGAUAAAGGAAUGCUUUGUUAUGUUAUCUGAUUUUAUGGACUAAUGAAUCUAUUAUAAUUUUGGUGGUGCAUUUAUAUUUUUGUUUCUAAUGUUAUUUGCAGGGGGAACUUGGAGCCACUACUAUAUUAGUUGUGUCCAUUGCUGCUUGUAAAGUUGGUGCUACUAAAAAGAAGAAAAUCAUGGUUCUCCCAAUUGGAGCAAGCAAAUUUGAGGAAGGACUGAGAAGGUACUAGGACCUUUCAUCACUUAAAGGUGGUUUUGCUUGAUUUCUUCUUUUAUUUUUAUUCUUCUUAUUGCUUUUACAUUUCAUCUUUAGGGAUCUUUUUCUUUUAACUUGACAAAGAAUUUUUAGGAUGGUUAUAUCUGGUGAGUAAUGGAAAUAAUGUACAGUGUUAAGUAGGUCACCUAAGCAUAAAUCUUCACAUUCCUUAUUUUCUCUAUUGGACCUCCUUCAAUAAUUAUUUACUAUAUAUACUAAGUGUACUUUUCAAUGGCAAACAAGCAAUGAUCUGAUGCAUGUGAAUCUAUCCAUACUGAAAACGGUUUUCAUUCCCUUUAAAUUUCUUUCAACUAUUGAAAAUAAAAUUGAAGGGCACAUGUUAGUAAAAGAUGUAUUUGUGGAAUUUAAUUAUGUGCAAAAUUAUAAUUCAUUCCAUGAUAUUCUAUUGUUUUAAACCAUGGUCAUGCCCUUUUUAGAGUUUACAUUUCUCUAUUAUGAUAUACAAAUAAAUGUUGACCGUGAUUGCUAAGAAAAUUGAAUAAACAUUAAUUUCAGAUAAGUUAUAGUUUCUAAAAGUUUUAGUUUAUUCAUAGUGAAAAUCUAUUUUAUAUGUAAAAUUAGAUCGUGAUAUUUAAAAAGAAAAUUAUAUUUAUACUUACUACCUUUAAAAGUUUGAGAUGGUUAUAUAAUGUGAGGUUCUGAUUAAGACCUAUGUUUCAUUCUGAAACAUUCUGUUUGUAGAGAAAUUGACAAACAUUCAUUUGAAUGGUUACAAUUGUCUUCCAUUUUUUAUAAAGAAGAUCAGUGAUUUUGUGAAAAGGAUUUAUUUCUUUAAAAUAAAGUAAAUUGUAACGAAUAAAAUUGCAAAAUUACAAUCACUGAAUUAAAAACUUGUUGAUUUUGGUCAGAAAACCUUUAGCAUUACUGUAAUCUAUUGUAAUUCCUAUCUUGUAUACUGCUUUGGUCUUUAAGUCAAUUUGAGUCAAAUUUUUUUCUUUGUUUUGUUCCAGUUUUACUGUUUCAGUUUGAAUUGCUUUUUCAUCAGUUUACUAUUUUUCUUUUUUUUUCGUUUCGAUCAUGUUAAUAGUAUAUAGUAGUGGUUUAAUUCCCUGUUUUGAAUUUUGAAUGGACUAAUCAGUUUUCCUACCUCUACGCUAACCCUUUUUUGCUGAAUUUUUCAAUUUCACUAACUGUUUAAUCUGUUUUGAGCUUUGUUACAUGUUUCCUUAGUUGUUUUGAGUUGUGAAAAAGUGUUUUGAAAGUCUUUAAGUAGUUCUAACAAUUUUUAGCUAUUAGAGUUUUUGUUUUGGUAAGUUGGUUUAACAGUUUUUAAACCCAUGUUCUAAGAUAAAUUUAAACCUCACUAACACCAGAAUCUUUUCUUCAUGGCCUCCUAUUCCUCCCAUCUUCUCCCAUUUAACCUCAUAGUUCCAUGUACAUUAGUAAAUUCAAGAGUUUUGGUACAAUUAUUACGACACUCUACCUUUUUUUCCUAUGCAACCAAACUCAUUAAACUAUAAGUCAAAAAAUAAUUAUAUCAACUCUUAGGUUUCUAUACUAGUUGUAAACUAAAAUGCACGUGUUAUGUGACUAAUCACCUCUUUAUUUUGACUUACUUUCACAUGAUGCCAUGGGUAAUGUAGAGAUUAGCAUGACAUAUAUAUGUAGAUCCUGAUCAAUUAUGGUUUUUUUUUUUUUUACUUUCGUGUUUUCUUAUUAUGCAGAAAUUGUGGUUUGACAAUGGAUUAGGGCAACAUCAUCCAAUUUAAGCAUACUCUUGGUAGAUGUAGUAGUAAUUUAAGCAGUGGCAGUAAAAAACAGUGGAGGACUGUGCAUGCAUGUGUGUCACAUACCAAUAUUGCAACAUCGUCCUAUUUGCAUUAAUAAAAUAAAAAUUUGUAUGUACUCUUCAAAAUUUUAUGACGAAAAUAAUGGAUUUCAAGAUCAUCUUAGUUUCCAUAUAUGUAUAUCUUAAUUUCUUGGAUACAGUGAAGUGCAGUUUCUAUUCAUUUAUAUGUUCAUUUAUACUUAAGUUGAGAAGUUGAGAGUCAGGUGAGUUUGGUGGUUGUUUCUAUUCUAUUAGUGUAUUGAUUUUGUGUAGUUUCAUGUGUAAUUUCAUCUAUAAAUAAGCAAUUGAACAAAGUCCACAAAAUUCAUAGGAUAAGGUUCUUUUCGUACUCAAAGAAUUAACUCAACAAAUCAAUUAUAAAGAAAGUACAAUUUUACCAUUAUAACAAUGCCAUAAUAAUAUAAGUCUAACUUUGGAUAUUAAUGGGGUUUUUAAAAACCCCAGACAUUAAUGGGGUUUUCGAACCCCAUGCAUUGACGGGUUUCGAAUCCCAAGCAUUAACGGGGGUUUUCGAAACCCUAUGCAUUAACCGAGGUUUUCAAAACCCCAUGCAUUAACGAGGGUUUAACGAGGGUUUUCGAAACCCCUAGUAAGUUACACUAUUUCCAGGGCUUGUUAAAAACCUCAGUAAUCUGUUAGCUACGCUUCUUCUUCCAGAGGAAUUGCAAACCCCUGGCAAAACCAUUAGUGGGGUUAAAACCCCAGAAACGUCAAAUAUAACCCCUACUAAAAACAAUUAUUUUUGUAGUGGUAAACUUUAAAGUUUAGUAAUCUUGAGUGAGAGUAUUAAUUAUCAAUUUAUAACUCUCUUUUAAACUACAAAUAUUUAUUUUCUGGCCUUUAGUCCUAAAAAACUAUUGUUAGAAGGUCCUAAUAAGGUGUGCACCCUAUAAACUCUACAACACAUUGCAAAUACAAGUUGUUAAGCAAGACCACAAUGUAAAAAAAAACAAACCUAUUGUUUUCAAGUCCUUAAUCUUAUGUUAUAAGUUAUUUUCUAUCAUAUAUGUAAUCUUGAGGACUAACAUUUAUUAAGCACAAUCAUAUAAAUAUUAGUCCUCAAAAUUACAAAAUAAAACACUAGAGCAAAUUAUGAGAACUAAAAGAUAUAAACAGUACUAGCUAAG